rnacentral:rRNA from 1 species
CGCCAGAGGACCCCCUAACUCUGUUUCUAUAAUGUUUCUUCUGAGUAAACAAGCAAAUAAAUUAAAACUUUCAACAACGGAUCUCUUGGCUCUGGCAUCGAUGAAGAACGCAGCGAAAUGCGAUAAGUAAUGUGAAUUGCAGAAUUCAGUGAAUCAUCGAAUCUUUGAACGCACAUUGCGCCCGCCAGUAUUCUGGCGGGCAUGCCUGUUCGAGCGUCAUUACAACCCUCAGGCCCCCGGGCCUGGCGUUGGGGAUCGGCGGAAGCCCCCUGCGGGCACAACGCCGUCCCCCAAAUACAGUGGCGGUCCCGCCGCAGCUUCCAUUGCGUAGUAGCUAACACCUCGCAACUGGAGAGCGGCGCGGCCACGCCGUAAAACACCCAACUUCUGAAUGUUGACCUCGAAUCAGGUAGGAAUACCCGCUGAACUUAAGCAUAUCAAUAAGCGGAGGAA